UCCUCUGCCUCUGCUUCUUCUCUCUCUCUCCUGUCCCUUCUCAUCCCCAAAGCCACCCUCAACACCACCACCACUCCAACCCCUACCCUACCUAAACCACAAAUCACAGGGACUCUCUCUCUCCUUCCUCUCCAGUAACGCCAUCGUUUCUGGACAAGGAAAGAGGGAUUUUGAAGAUCACCGAUCUUGGACUCGGCUGUGCCUUCACUGUACCUCGCAAGAGUUACACGCACGAGAUUGUUACUCUGGUACAGAGCACUGGAAGUUCUGCUCGGUUCAACUCAUUACUCUACCGACGUCGAUAUGUGGUCCGUCGGAUGUCUUUUCGGGAAAGAAUAGAAAACGAGCCAUAAUGGCCAAGAUAGCUGCUCUUGCAAAAAAAAGGCCAGAAAAGGAUGUCAAAGUUUCCACUGUGAUGGAUACUAAGAAUAGGCUGAGUUCAAAAAACAAAAAUCAAGUAUGAUGC